UUAAGUUCAGCGGGUAAUCUUACCUGAUUUGAGGUCAAAAUUUCAUAUGAUUAAAUUUAUGGGUACGUAAACCAUGAUAAAUAUGGUCGUACCUAAUAAAAAAGGUCAAUUAAGCACAAAGUAUUGACCAUAAAAUGCGCUCAAAUCAACGUAUGAUCAAUUUUAAGUCACUUAAAACUUUGAAUGUAAAGGUUUUUUAAGGUAACUCAAUUCCGAAAUUGAUACUCUCUCAUUAGAGAGGUAACAAAAAUCGAUUUUUUUAUUUUAAUGACCCUCAAACAGACAUACUCUUCGUGAAAAGAGUGCAAUUUGCGUU
rnacentral:misc_RNA from 1 species